rnacentral:tRNA from 2 species
GGGCCAUUAGCUCAGUCGGCAGAGCACCUGACUUUUAAUCAGGGUGUCCGGCGUUCGAUUCGCCGAUGGCCCACCA